UCCCAUCUCCUAUAGAUGGACUUCCCAACAUCUGCUACACCAAACGUUCUCUUAUCCCUUCUCUCUCGGGUGCUCUCUAUUUUUUUAAAGUCCAGGCUAUUGCUUUACUUUGAUUUUGGUGUGUGGUAUUCUGCUUGGACCGCUCUAUCAGAGAUGACCUGUUGUAAAUUUGAUUGGUGCGUAUUUGAAAUGUUGCUACUCUUUCGAGUGAAAAUGUCUUUUGCAAUGUGCCACGGAAACUUUCCAAAAACCACGAAUUGGACUUUAUGAUGGUUCCUGCUAAUUUCCUUCUUUUCGAUUAGUUUAUACGCUUUCCCGAAAAUCGUGUGUUUAUGGCUAAGAUGGAAUAAAGAUUCUUUGUCUAUCUACAUAGCCUUGCAUUUUAUCUUCAAAUAUUGUAUUUAAUUUUUAUUUUAUUUUUUUUUAAUUAAGCUUUUCCACUUCCGCUUUCUCUUUGUAUUUUAACUUUUAUUUUUUUCCGUGUUUCCGAUUUUCGUAUUUUACGGUUGUUCAUAUCUUUGCAACAUAGUUUCUGUACAUAGCUUUUUAAUUCUUUAUUUCUUUCUUUCAUUCUACCGACUUUGCG